rnacentral:rRNA from 1 species
AACGGGACCUUCUUCGGACAGAGGAGACAGGUGGUGCAUGGUUGUCGUCAGCUCGUGUCGUGAGAUGUUGGGUUAAGUCCCGCAACGAGCGCAACCCUCGACCUUAGUUGCCAGCAUUCAGUUGGGCACUCUAAGGUGACUGCCGGCUAAAAGUCGGAGAAGGUGGGGAUGACGUCAAAUCAUCAUGCCCCUUAUGACCUGGGCUACACACGUGCUACAAUGGGCGGUACAAAGGGUCGCGAACCCGCGAGGGGGAGCCAAUCCCAAAAAGCCGCUCUCAGUUCGGAUUGCAGGCUGCAACUCGCCUGCAUGAAGCCGGAAUCGCUAGUAAUCGCGGAUCAGCAUGCCGCGGUGAAUACGUUCCCGGGCCUU